CACAUCUGUAUGCCCUUUAAUUUCAAGCGGCACUUUUUAAAAAUGGAAAAUAAACAAAUUCAGUGUUAACAGGACCUUAGAUUAACAGCCUUGAUUAAAAGCAAUAAAUAGAGAUAAAUACAAUGGUUCAUUGCAACGAGUGGUUUCACAGAAAUCUGCAAAAUGCUAGGUAAGAUGUUGCUUCAGGAGAUCAGAAGAACAUCAAAGAAAUAGAAGCACAGUAAUACACAAAAUAAAUAUUAUUUUCAGUUGAUUUUUAAUAUUAAUUAAUUCUUUUCAAUAUGCCCAUUGCCCACUUGAGUUUAUUUUAGGCGAACAUCGCAACUAGAGAAUGGGGAAUGUAUCACAGCAUGACUGAAAGUCCAUAAACCAAGAAUGAAGGUUUGUGCCAUCAGGCUGACACUCCAGGGUCCUGUAACCAGACCUCUUGGUCCAUGCUGUGAUGUGGAACUCCAUGCCUUGUCAUGAAAUCUG